rnacentral:rRNA from 1 species
UACAGAGGGUGCAAGCGUUAAUCGGAAUUACUGGGCGUAAAGCGUGCGUAGCCGGUUAUGUAAGUCGGGUGUGAAAGCCCCGGGCUCAACUUGGGAAUUGCAUUCGAGACUGCAUAGCUAGGGUGCGGAAGAGGGAAGCGGAAUUUCCGGUGUAGCGGUGAAAUGCGUAGAUAUCGGAAGGAACACCAGUGGCGAAAGCGGCUUCCUGGUCCAGCACCGACGUUCAGGCACGAAAGCGUGGGGAGCAAACAGG